rnacentral:rRNA from 1 species
GAUCCUGGCUCAGAAUCAACGCUGGCGGCGUGCCUAACACAUGCAAGUCGAACGAGAAAGUGGAGCAAUCCAUGAGUAAAGUGGCGACCGGGUGAGUAACACGUGACUACCUACCUCCGAGUGGGGAAUAACUCCGGGAAACCGGGGCUAAUACCGCAUAACAUCGCAAGAUCAAAGCAGCAAUGCGCUUGGAGAGGGGGUCGCGGCUGAUUAGCUAGUUGGUGAGGUAACGGCUCACCAAGGCGAAGAUCGGUAUCCGGCCUGAGAGGGCGCACGGACACACUGGAACUGAAACACGGUCCAGACUCCUACGGGAGGCA